rnacentral:rRNA from 1 species
GAUGAACGCUGGCGGCGUGCCUAAUACAUGCAAGUCGAGCGAACAGACGAUGAGCUUGCGCCUCUGACGUGAGCCGCGGACGUGUGAGUAACACGUGUAUAACCUACCUAUAAGACUGGGAUAACUUCGGGAAACCGGAGCUAAUACCGGAGAAUAUAUUGAACCGCAGUGUUCAAUGGUGAAAUACGGUGUUGCGGUCACUUAUAGAUGGAUCCGCGCCGCAUUAGCUAGUUGGUAAGUUAACGGCUUACCAAGGCGACGAGGCGUAGCCGACGUGAGAGGGUGAUAGGCCACACUGGAACUGAGACACGGUCCAGACUACUACGGGAGGCAGCAGUAGGGAAUGGUCCGCAGUGGGCGAAAGCCUGACGCAGCAACGCCGAGUGAGUGACGACAGUCUUGGGAUCGUAAAGCCCUGUUACUAGGGAAGAACAAAUGUGUAAGUAAACAUGCACGUCUUGACGGUAACUAAUCAGAAAGCCCCGGCUAACUACGUG